AUGGCCGCGGCCAUGAGACCCUCCUCCCCCCCCUACCCUCUCCCGCCUCCCCCGACCUGCUCGUCCCGCCUCCCCCAGCUCCGCUGCUUCGUCGGCCUCCGGUGUUCCGCCCCUCGCGUCCAGGUCAGGAGGCAAUUAGACGCGGUUGCAGGAAUUGGCAGUGGUGCGCGUGGAUGCGGUGGACGAUUCAGAGCGCCUGCUUCCAGUGCGUCCCAGCCUUGUUAUAGCUCCAUCGUCAUUAGAAACGACAAUUCUCAAAAUGCCGAUUUUCCACGUAACUACUCCAAAAGGGAGAAGAAACCAUUUCCUAUACCAGUACUGGAGUUAAGGCGCCGAGCGAGACAGAGGAUGAAGGAAGCUGAAGGGAAGCCUAGGGGGCCGCCGCCACCUCCGAAAAAUGGAUUGCUGGUCCAGAGACUAAUACCAGAGGCAUACAGAGUGUACAACGCAAGAAUUUCGCUGAUCAACAACUUGAAGAGGCUGAUGAAAGUAGUACCAGUGAAAGGCUGCAAAUAUUGCGGUGAGAUACACGUUGGAUCUGUUGGACACCCUUUCAGAACAUGCCGAGGAAUGUCUUCUGAUAAACGUAAGGGAGAACAUGACUGGGGAAGUACUUUUGUUGAAGCUGUUUUCUUGCCAGUUGAAGCUUACCACCUAGAGGACCGUCUAGGCCCGCGUAUCCCUCAUGACCAGAGGUUUGAGGUGCCCCGCAUUCCUGCUCUUGUGGAGCUUUGCAUCCAAGCUGGUCUCGACCUCCCUGAGUACCCCACAAAGCGCCGAAGAAAGCCAAUUGUUAAGAUCGGAAGGAAAGAGUUUGUCGACGCAAAUGAAGAUGACCUGCCUGACCCGGAGCCUGACAAAUUUAAGGAGCCAAUUCUCGAAGAAGUAUCCGACGAUGAGAUUACCCCUCCGUCGAGCCCAGAGGAGACGGCUGCUCUUGCCGAGGAAACACUCAAAGUGUGGGAGACACUCCGGAACGGUGCCUUGAGGCUCAUGAAGAGGUAUUCAGUGAGGGUGUGUGGAUACUGUCCUGAGGUGCACAUUGGAGCGAGUGGUCAUAAAGCGCGCAACUGUGGAGCCUUCAAGCACCAGCAGAGGAAUGGACAGCAUGGAUGGCAGGCGGCGGUGCUCGAUGACCUAAUACCCCCUAGAUACGUCUGGCACAUGCCGGAAUCUGGGGAGUUGCAGAAGGAGCUCAAGAUCUUCUAUGGGCAGGCGCCGGCUGUCGUUGAGAUAUGCAUUCAAGGCGGCGCACAAGUGCCGGAGAAGUACAAAGCCACAAUGAGGCUAGAUAUAGGGAUUCCCUCCAGUUUGAAAGAGGCUGAAAUGGUCGUCUGA
rnacentral:rRNA from 1 species